AGGUUUCUUAACCGGCUUGGGAACAGCUUACUUCUUGGUGACUCGACUUUUUCAUCUGUAACGGGGACCAGUGAUUCCUGCGGCUCUCAGGGGCGCUGGAGAACGGGGAGGAAACACGCUCUGAAAAGCCUCGCCCCUCUGCAUGGCUGCCGCACCACGUUUGGGAGAACAUCUUGGUCCGUCAACGCAAGCAGCCGAGGAGAUAGUUGCACUUUCAGGGGCGGAGGAUAACGUCCAGGUGGCCUCACAUCAUGCCUCUUCAGGAGACACCUGGAUCAACUUGAGGACUCUGCAGGGACACACUCAGCCCAGGGGAGUCACUGGGGCCGCCCACAGGAGCGGCUGGGCCGGCCUGGGAAGAUGGGCUGCAAGGUAGCCCCGUGCAUCGUCCUCCAUGCAGCCAGGAGCAGCCCUGGGAGUGCCUGGGGCUCAGGGCGUGGUGCUCCGGGCCUGUGCCCGGCCCUCCUGAGCCCCAUCCAGCCACUCACAGUAGACGUGGGAACUUAAGAGCAAUUUUCUCUGCAUGUCCCUGAGCUGAUGAGAGCCUCUGACAAGGCUGGUCCAGGACGAGGCAGUGCCCCUUCCUCCGGAGGCAGAGUCGUCGUCCGCCCCUCCCCCGUUUCUGAGUGUGCGAUGGCCACCAUUUCCCAGCAUUCUUUAUUGGUUGAGAGGCCCUCGAUCCCCCUCCUUGGUGCGACAUUUGAUUUGAAGCUCAGAAGGACACCAUGCAGGGCCCGGAGUUGGGCUGCCUCGAGAGGAAGCCACUCUGCUUUCUCCUGCGACCCCCUGUCUCAGAGCCCCCGUCCCAGGCACUUCCCGCUUCUUCCCACUCGUGAGCCUUCACUGA
rnacentral:lncRNA from 1 species